rnacentral:lncRNA from 1 species
GUUCUCUUGUCUUCUACUUCCGCCAUGGUCUCUUUGCCUCAUGCAUCCUUUUGGGCCAGGGGAUUUCUGCUGCUGCUCCUCUCAUGACGCGGUGAGAGUGCUUUUCCUUGCUGGAUUUGUGAACCCCUUGUUUUGUUACGCUGGUUUUCGUGUUUAGCUUGGGUUUGGUAAAACUUAAAAGAUCCUUCUUUGGUUGUCUUUGAUUUGGUAUUUUGGAGCUUUCAGCUGCUUUGUGAUGAGCUCUAUUUGGAAAGAUUGCAUUUUGAGAGCUGUCAAUGUUAAGUUUUGGUGUUUCGAUCUCGCCAAUGGCAAUACACCAAAACAGAGACCUCCAUCCUUUUUGUUUCCCUUUGAACUUGGUUAAUUUUGCGUGCCUAGGGUUCUUGUUUUGCACAUUUGAAGGAGGUUUCCAACCCCUUCUUUGUUAAUUUUGGGGAUAUUGGUCAAGCCGUGUGGUGCAUCAAUUUUUUGAAGGGUUUGCUUUUGUGCUUGCCUAUUAGCUUCCUUUUUCUUGAACUUGAUGGAACCCAGAAACAAGGAUUUUGUGUGGCAGGUUUUAUAAAGGUGAAGUAUGACCAUUACAGCUGAUACGCAGUUGGGCAUUCAAUAUCUUUGAUCUCGAACUUCCUAGGAAAGGAAGAGCUAGGUUUGGGACCUUGAAUUCUGAU